rnacentral:rRNA from 1 species
UACGGAGGGUGCAAGCGUUAUCCGGAUUCACUGGGUUUAAAGGGUGCGUAGGCGGGCUUGUAAGUCAGUGGUGAAAGCCCGGAGCUUAACUCCGGAACUGCCAUUGAUACUGAAGGUCUUGAGUACACUUGAGGUGGGCGGAAUACAUCAUGUAGUGGUGAAAUACUUAGAUAUGAUGUAGAACACCGAUUGCGAAGGCAGCUCACUAAAUUGUAACUGACGCUGAGGCACGAAAGCGUGGGGAUCAAACAGG